rnacentral:rRNA from 1 species
UACAGAGGGGGCAAGCGUUGUUCGGAAUUACUGGGCGUAAAGGGCGCGUAGGUGGCCUGCUAAGUCGAACGUGAAAUCCCCGGGCUCAACCCGGGAACUGCGUCCGAUACUGGUGGGCUUGAAUCCGGGAGAGGGAUGCGGAAUUCCAGGUGUAGCGGUGAAAUGACGUAGAUAUCUGGAGGAACACCGGUGGCGAAGGCGGCAUCCUGGACCGGUAUUGACGCUGAGGCGCGAAAGCCAGGGGAGCAAAGCGGGG